rnacentral:lncRNA from 1 species
CUAAGCAUAAUCCCAGGUACUCUGAUUACUAGUUAAACAAAAUUAAAUAAUUUGAGAUUUGUUUAGAGUCUUCAUGAUUAAGUCAAGUCAGCAUAGAAACAGAAUAAAGUAGGCCAUGACUGGAAAGUACGAGUAGAUUGGCAAACUCAGCAAGACAAAAGAGGAACAGUAUAAACAAAAGGGCAAACAGAAAUAAAGUCACAUACAUUGAUUAGGAAACAAGCUCAAGCUAACAAACAGUGCAGAGUUAAAGAGAAAGGCAAAGACAUAA